rnacentral:lncRNA from 1 species
CCGGACACAACUCUAAACCAACUAAAUCAGAAUCAGAUAUAGUGAAGUCAGUAAUCAUUUUGCUCCUGGGUCUUUAUGCUAGUUUUGCUCCUGGGAAACUCCUGGGAAUGUGGUAGAGGGAGAGAAAGAGAUGGGAAAAUAAGAUUUUAAGAAGUGUUGCUAUGCAUUUUGAAAAUAAUUUUUCUUUGGUGUUUGUCUUGAGGGACAGUGGUAAACAUUUCAAUUGCCUUUAAGUAUGCUUGCAUGCUGGAAUGAUGGUUCUUUGAAUGUAGCAUCGAACUGGUAUUGGGCCACGUGGCAGCCAGCGUGAGCCUUUAUGCCACAUUUAUAAAACAUGAAUGUCAUGAGCCCAUUCUCAGGGACCUUACAAUUUGGAGGGUUAGGUCAGAUCCACAAAUCUCUUGUAUCUCAUGGUAAAGGAAACCUGGCGUGUAGCAGGAGAUGGUGUGAUAACAAUAAUAUAUUGCAUGAUCAUUAUUUGUAUUCUUCUUAGCAAUAUUAAACUUUUUGACCCCCUCCAUUGUGUCAUCAAUUUGCUUAAUAUAGUUUCUUCCUCAUUUCUUCCUCAGCGUCGGUUUUUAGGCCUGGCAUAAGCUGUUUGAAACCCAGGCACGUACCCCAACCAUUAUCUUUGGCCUAGUUAACACCUCCCCUCCCUGCGUGGUGGUUUGGAGAACCUGCUUGUUCCUCAUCCCACUGAUCCCAAACCCAGGACACCCCACAGCUGCUGACCAGGAUUAAACCUAACGGAGAUUUAAUGCCGUUAAAUCAGAAGAAAUUCUGAUUUUCAGGGACUGACAUUCAUUCACUUAAAUACUUGCAGAGUCGGCCAGGUGUGAGUUACCGUACCUGGCCCCAUUUCCUCUUAUACCA